rnacentral:rRNA from 1 species
UACGUAGGGUGCAAGCGUUGUUCGGAAUUAUUGGGCGUAAAGCGCGUGUAGGCGGCUUUGCAAGUCGGGUGUGAAAGCCCUCAGCUUAACUGAGGAAGUGCGCCCGAAACUGCAUAGCUUGAGUACCGGAGAGGAUGGUGGAAUUCCCGAAGUAGAGGUGAAAUUCGUAGAUAUCGGGAGGAACACCGGUGGCGAAGGCGACCAUCUGGACGGAUACUGACGCUGAGACGCGAAAGCGUGGGUAGCAAACAGG